AUGCAGUCGAACGGUGAACACGGAGCUUGCUCUGUGGGAUCAGUGGCGAACGGGUGAGUAACACGUGAGCAACCUGCCCCUGACUCUGGGAUAAGCGCUGGAAACGGCGUCUAAUACUGGAUAUGUGACGUGAUCGCAUGGUCUGCGUCUGGAAAGAAUUUCGGUUGGGGAUGGGCUCGCGGCCUAUCAGCUUGUUGGUGAGGUAAUGGCUCACCAAGGCGUCGACGGGUAGCCGGCCUGAGAGGGUGACCGGCCACACUGGGACUGAGACACGGCCCAGACUCCUACGGGAGGCAGCAGUGGGGAAUAUUGCACAAUGGGCGCAAGCCUGAUGCAGCAACGCCGCGUGAGGGACGACGGCCUUCGGGUUGUAAACCUCUUUUAGCAGGGAAGAAGCGAAAGUGACGGUACCUGCAGAAAAAGCGCCGGCUAACUACGUGCCAGCAGCCGCGGUAAUACGUAGGGCGCAAGCGUUAUCCGGAAUUAUUGGGCGUAAAGAGCUCGUAGGCGGUUUGUCGCGUCUGCUGUGAAAUCCGGAGGCUCAACCUCCGGCCUGCAGUGGGUACGGGCAGACUAGAGUGCGGUAGGGGAGAUUGGAAUUCCUGGUGUAGCGGUGGAAUGCGCAGAUAUCAGGAGGAACACCGAUGGCGAAGGCAGAUCUCUGGGCCGUAACUGACGCUG
rnacentral:rRNA from 1 species